GACGAACGCUGGCGGCGUGCUUAACACAUGCAAGUCGAACGGAAAGGCCCUGCUUUUGUGGGGUGCUCGAGUGGCGAACGGGUGAGUAACACGUGAGUAACCUGCCCUUGACUUUGGGAUAACUUCAGGAAACUGGGGCUAAUACCGGAUAGGAGCUCCUGCUGCAUGGUGGGGGUUGGAAAGUUUCGGCGGUUGGGGAUGGACUCGCGGCUUAUCAGCUUGUUGGUGGGGUAGUGGAUUACCAAGGCUUUGACGGGUAGCCGGCCUGAGAGGGUGACCGGCCACAUUGGGACUGAGAUACGGCCCAGACUCCUACGGGAGGCAGCAGUGGGGAAUAUUGCACAAUGGGCGGAAGCCUGAUGCAGCAACGCAGCGUGCGGGAUGACGGCCUUCGGGUUGUAAACCGCUUUCGCCUGUGACGAAGCGUGAGUGACGGUAAUGGGUAAAGAAGCACCGGCUAACUACGUG
rnacentral:rRNA from 1 species